rnacentral:tRNA from 1 species
GGUCUCGUAGCUCAAUUGGUUAAAGUGUGGCUUUUAUGAGGUGAAGGGUUGUGGGUUCGAGCCUCACCGAGAUUA